CGUAGAUGCCCCGGGACUUCAUGCCAACCAACCGGUUCUCCACCAUGUCCACACGUCCGAUCCCAUGCUUACCGCCGAUCUCGUUGAGCUCAGAGAGCAGGGUUGCAGGGGAGAGCUCUUGUCCAUUGAGGGAAACAGGCGACCGGUGCUUGCAUAUAUAAGUUUUUUGCCCCCAAGAUAUCAGAAGUACGAGAAAUUAGCCAUUCUCGGCUCAAGGAAGAGGAAAGGGAGAAAGAUUCAAAAUAGCAGGGAAGAGACACUGGUUUAGGAGGAAAUUGCUUUCAUAAGAUCAACCACAGCACAACCGCACAACAGCAUCAGGAACAGGAACAUUGUGUUUCUUCGCAUACUCGAUAGCAUCUUCUCGACCUGUGAUCUCCCAUUCCCUCCAUGGUGCCACAACUUUGAGUCCAGGAUUUAAAGCGAAGAAGUGCUUUGAAAUGUCUUCUUGGGUCCAACCUCAAACAAAAUAAAGAAGAUGGAGAUUUCCAUGUCUUUUCUCCAAUAACAAGCAGCAAAAAAGGUUGAGGUGACACAGGGGUCUUUACUCUUUGGAACCUAAAACGAUGCUUCCUGCAGUGCUGUACCUGAUUCUACUGGCAAUUUAUAGAUGCAUCCUUCCACAACAUUAUAUCUUCUACUUCAGGGUCAAACUAUGAGUCAGUAUCAAACCGUAUCUUGUAACAGAUACCACGCUAGCAACUUAAUAAGCAUAGUACAAGGGAGCUCUCGAUCCUUUGUAUAGUCCAUGUCCACCAGUAUGACUAUUUAUAGACCAGCUUCAAUGUGUGCGACAUAGAUAAGUAAUUAAUAAGCAACAGUACUAUGCUACUUUCCCUUUCUAUACUUGUGCCAGGGAUGGGCAGAAGCUCUUCUACUCUCUUGCCCACCCUUUUCUACAUUUCUAAGAAUCUAAAAGGCUUGCUUAAGCUUCAUUUGGCAUCA